AUGGCUUUAAGGCUCCCAUCUUCGCACAAGCUUGUUUCGGUUGAUUUCUCCAUUAAUAAUUUGUUUGAAUCUAGGUUUUCAUUUCAUGGACCUUAUCAUCAUCAAGCUACAAGGCUAUUCUUUUCUUCUCAAUGUCAAGUUGCAAGGUUUUAUGAGACGAAGCUAAAAAUCAGGGUUUAUACAUUUUCAUACUUGAGCUUGUCAGCAUUCUACCUGAGGUUCAUUCCAUAUCAAGGUAUUCGCAUGUCUCAUCUUUCAUAUUCAUCUGCAAAGAAUCCCUCAGGGCAUAGUCAUUAUCAUCUAUUGAGAAGGGGUCCAAGACGUCGUUAUUCUAGUGCUCAUAUAGUCGGGACAUGGUACAAGAUGUUGAUUGUGAUCAAGGUGUCAUUAUUUCAAAUGCUUGUUGCUUGA